rnacentral:rRNA from 1 species
GACAGAGGGGGCAAGCGUUGCUCGGAAUCACUGGGCGUAAAGGGCGCGUAGGCGGGUAGCCAAGUCGGUCGUGAAAUCUCCGGGCUCAACCCGGAGGAGUCGGCCGAAACUGGUUUUCUUGAGGGAGGCAGAGGAGUCUGGAAUUCCCGGUGUAGCGGUGAAAUGUGUAGAGAUCGGGAGGAACACCGGUGGCGAAGGCGGGACUCUGGGCCUACCCUGACGCUGAGGCGCGAAGGCGUGGGGAGCAAACGGG